rnacentral:lncRNA from 1 species
GGAUGAUUAAGAGACAUCAAAAUGUAUAAUCAGAUACAAUCUUUCAUAAUUCGUAUAAUUAGCAAAACAACCUGUUUCAAUGUUAUUUUGUAAGGAAUGGAGAAGAAAAAUUUGAGGUUUCAACUCACCGCCACGGCUCCCGCCAUGUUUUUACUCUCGCCUUAGGGAUGAUGGGAGUGACUAAUAAUAAAUUAAUGACGACUUAAGAAGGUUUUUUUUAUGAAUGAAUAAUUAUAAGAAAUAAUAUUUGUUGAAUUGUAACAUAGUCUUUAUUACAAAGAAAAGUUAUUUUGUUAUUCAUUAUAAUAUGUAAAUGAGUUGUGGUAUAAAUACAGGCGCCGUGAAGAGGCGCAGUGUUCUCUCUCCCUCUCCCCGUCUUCGCCGAUUGGUGGUACGUUGUCCUGUGACCGUCUUGAGUGUGGUGAACUUUGUUAAUUGUUGUGGACUCCGUUUCCUGUUGUGGACAUUGUCAUUCGUUGUGAGUGUUGCUACUUGUGGUGGACAUUGUCAUUUAUUGCAAACUGUGUAUUUGUAACAGAACGGCUUUGGCUAGCUCAGCUUUAUGGUUUUAUGUAUUGGAUUUGUGUUUUGCUGAGAACCUUCAGAAGAGAGAACAGUUGUUUAUUUUUAGUUAGAUUAACAAGUUGUUUAAUAGUUAUUUUUAAUAA